UACCAGAGUCGUCGCUUGGUCUAGUGC
rnacentral:sRNA from 1 species